rnacentral:rRNA from 1 species
AGAGUUUGAUCCUGGCUCAGAAUCAACGCUGGCGGCGUGCUUAACACAUGCAAGUCGAGCGGGCGUAGCAAUACGUCAGCGGCAGACGGGUGAGUAACGCGUGGGAACAUACCUUUUGGUUCGGAACAACACAGGGNAAACUUGUGCUAAUACCGAAUAAGCCCUUACGGGGAAAGAUUUAUCGCCGAAUCAUUGGCCCGCGUCUGAUUAGCUAGUUGGUGAGGUAACGGCUCACCAAGGCGACGAUCAGUAGCUGGUCUGAGAGGAUGAUCAGCCACAUUGGGACUGAGACACGGCCCAAACUCCUACGGGAGGCAGCAGUGGGGAAUAUUGGACAAUGGGCGCAAGCCUGAUCCAGCCAUGCCGCGUGAGUGAUGAAGGCCCUAGGGUUGUAAAGCUCUUUUGUGCGGGAAGAUAAUGACGGUACCGCAAGAAUAAGCCCCGGCUAACUUCGUGCCAGCAGCCGCGGUAAUACGAAGGGGGCUAGCGUUGCUCGGAAUCACUGGGCGUAAAGGGUGCGUAGGCGGNNUCUUUAAGUCAGGGGUGAAAUCCUGGAGCUCAACUCCAGAACUGCCUUUGAUACUGAAGAUCUUGAGUUCGGGAGAGGUGAGUGGAACUGCGAGUGUAGAGGUGAAAUUCGUAGAUAUUCGCAAGAACACCAGUGGCGAANGCGGCUCACUGGCCCGAUACUGACGCUGAGGCACGAAAGC